rnacentral:lncRNA from 1 species
GUUCUUCUCUGGCUGUCUCUCUCUCUGUCUCUCAGCCUCUCUGUCUGUCUCUCUCCAUCUCUCAGCCUCUCUCUGUCUCUCUCCAUUUCUCAGCAUCUCUCUGUCUCUCUCCAUCUCUCAGUCUCUGUCUCUCUCCAUCUCUCAGCCUCUCUUUUUCUCUCUCCAUCUCUCAGUCUCUUUCUGUCUCUCUCCAUCUCUCAGUCUCUCUCUGUCUCUCUCCAUCUCUCAGCAUCUCUCUGUCUCUCUCCAUCUCUCAGUCUCUCUCUGUCUCUCUCCAUCUCUCAGACUCUCUCUGUCUCUCUCUUUGUCUCUCAGCCUCUCUCUCUGUCUCUCUCUGCUCCUGUUCUUCUCUCCCUCUCUCUCCAUCUCUUGGCCUCUCUCCUCCCUUCUCAAUUUUUCCAGAUGUGCCAUGUCUGACUCUGCUCAUGCCACGUAUUUCCCUUCCUCCUCCUCUCUUAGGCUCCGUCUUCUCCCACUUCUUCUGGACUCCUGUGCAUCUGUGUGUGUCUGUGUGUGUGUCUCUGAGUGUGUAUCUGUGUGUGUGUCUGUGAGCAUGUGUGUUUGUGUGUCUGUGUGUAUCUCUGUGUCUAUGUGUCUGUGAAUGUGUCUAUGUGUGUCUGUGUGUGUCUCUGAGUGUGUCUGUGUGUAUGUGUGUGUGUCUGUGUGUCUCUGAGUGUUUGUGUCUAUGUGUGUCUGUGAGUGUGUCUCUUUCCCCUCCCUCUGCCUACCCCUACCCUGCUGGGGGCCCUGGGAGGGGGGGGUCCAUCCUGGGGUCUUGCCCUCUCACUGCUGCCUCCAGCUGGGUCUCACUGCUCCUGGAGCUCCAUCCUGAGGGAUCCCCACAUCCCCCAUGUUUCCCAGGAGGCCACAGAGCUAAACCCACCCUCUGGUCACACCUGGUCCCUGGUUCCAGAGCUGGAGGUUCCCACCCUCAGCCCACUCGCCCAGGCCAGGGCUGGCCUGCCCCUCCCCCAUCCACAAACCAUCAUGAGGACUCCUGAACUCCCCUCCACACCCCCGACAGCUCUCAAUCCCCACCUCCCUCUCUACGGGUACCCCAACUCUCCCUGGAAGGACCCUGCUGGCUUCCUCUGUGGCCUCUGCUUCCGCUCCCAUCAGGGUCAGAAACCCAGAGCAGUGCCUGUCCCAAGUCCUCCAGAUGCCCACGCCCAGG